UGCGGGUUGGAGAAGUGGUAUCUCAUCGGACUCAUUAUCCGAAGAUCGCAGGAUCGUUCCCUGCACCCGCAACCA
rnacentral:tRNA from 1 species